rnacentral:lncRNA from 1 species
UAAUAUAAAUAAGGUAGAAAUGUAUGGAAUUUAUCAAAACUAUUGACUAUUUUUUUAUUUUAUUAUUCAAUCUCUUAAUUUGUUUGACUUAAAUAAUUUGAUAGCUCUUUGAAUAUAAAAUUUAAGCUAAUUAAUUAUUUUAAUAAACAUAUAGUUAUAUGAAUAAUAUGAAGUAUAUACUUAUUAAGCUCGUAAAGAUAAGUAGCACGUUCAAAUUUUGAAGUUAAAGAGUGAUUAACUAGCUCAACAAGAAUAAACUAAAAUGUUGGAUGGUAAAAUCAAAAUUUUUGAAGGAUCGACAUACCAUAUCAAGAUAGGCACUAGUUGAGGUAUGUUUUAUACAUUGUUAUCUAUAAAUUAAGAUCACUUAUUAUAUAUGCUCCCUGUCCUUCCACUAGGUUCUGGAUCACUAGCUUAAUAUAUAGAAGCAGCAAAGGAAAAAUGGGGAAGAUAAUUUUUAAAAGAGCAAUACAACUUGUAGAUUUGCGUAGAGGUGUAAAUUUUAUACCGCGUCAUCUAAAGAUUCCUUUUCUCACACUAGUCUUUUCACAUCCCUAUUUUUUAAUUACUAAAAGAUCAAAAGAAUUGUCUUAAUCCUUGGAUGGCUUGGAUGUAAGAUUCACGCCUACUUUAUAAGUGUAUAGGUAGCAAUUUUCUUUUGGAUUUAGAAAAUAAUGAGCUUCCAAUUUAUAAA